rnacentral:lncRNA from 1 species
GUCCGGUCGAGCGUCACUAGCCAGAUAAAGCUAGCUGGCUGCUUAUAACCUUAGCUUUGGUCAACAGGGUUAAGUAGCUGGCUAGCUAUUUAUUUUCAUGAACUGAAGUUCAAUUUCAAUUGGCAAACAACAAGUGGCUACCUAGCUAAAACGUACUCACAAGGAUUCCUUGUUAAGGAUAAUGAAAAUGACUGCAGUUUCUACUGGUCGUUGUUUUCAGGCUGGUUGUAUUGGUGCUAGCUAGGUACCACGCUAAAGCUAGCUAGCUACCCCAGAAGAUGCAGUCAAACAAAUAAUGUCUUAUUACCAUCGUGGUAUUGUAAACAUAUCGUUUGUGGCCAUUGUGUGCUUGUUUGCAGACUUUUUUGUACAGCUUUGACAGUGCUACUGAUAGUGGUGGCGCUUGGCUUACACGUGCAAAUUCAUCACACACAACAUUCUAAUAGAAUUAUUCUAUAUGUGUAGGGAAGUAUUUAAACACUUGCUUAGGUCCAACCUCUGAUCUUUCCAAGGAUUUUUUAUAUGCCAAACUGGAACCCAAACAAUGCAAAAACUGGGCAUCGACGCGUCGCAACUCCAAUAACCCUUCCUUGAGCCUAUGCCUCUGACAGCACAAUGACUGAUGACUCCCCUUCAGGCUACAGGAAUGGAACCAGGGAACAGUGAGGGAAGGGUUGAGGUUCUGGGAUAAAUUUAUUGGACGGACAGGAAGGGUGCCCACGAUGUCCCGGAGCAGAUGGCGACCCUCUCCUUUGCUGACGUCCGUAGGGAAUUCAAGACCCUUCUUAGCAUUCCUUUAGAGUGCUCCGACAGAUAUAUAUUCUUUGUUGUUCUUCGUUAGCUAGCUAGCUUCUUCCAAAAGAGUCCCUAGCAACAGAUGAUGAUGAUGAGUUACUGAUGGCCUGCUUGCUGGUUCCAGAGGCAAGUAGGUAUGGCUGCCGUCUUCCCUCCGUCCCAGGUACUCAUCCAGGCUCCUACAAGAAAGAAGAAAAAGACAAAAGAACAAAAAAUUAUAUUCAACACAUGCUGAAAAGAACAAAAAAUUAUAUUCAACACUUAUGCUGAGGUAAAGAAAGUUCAUAACAGAUAUUUAUUAUGCUAGGAUAAAGGAUUUCAUCUACAAUUUGACACACAUGCAUACAAAACAUUAUAGAAAUGAUUGCCUUGUUCAACUUCUUUGUUGGAAUUUGAUUCACAUACUGAGAUCGAAGAAGGUGACAUCUGCCAUAUACCUUGUGAAACACAAUGAGAUGGUCAAUGGCCUGAGCUGUGCUGAUCUUCUGUGUUUUCUUCCUACCAGCGGGCUUUGAUGAUAGGAUGUUCAAAGGAGUAGGAGGGAAGACAUGUCCCUGUCCCACUGUAAACAAGAAUUGCUGAUAUUAGUUUUGCCCAGCAUCAAAUGAACUCAUCACCAACAGUUCAAGUGCUUUAAGUUCCCUACAAGGACCCCAAGUGAAGACGUUGCAGGCAAAGAUGUCGAGAUUGUCUGCGCUUAUGGAUUGUAGACUCUUUGGGAUAGUUAUGACAACCCCUUCUACCUCAAAAGAUUGUCUUACUACUACAAUAAAUGUAUUUAUUGCAUUGAAUGUGUUUUAUGCACCUGUGUGGUGUGUCAUGUCAUGUGUGUACUCCACCAUUUUACAAAUGAAGUUCUUUGUGGAAAAAUACAGUCAUUUGAAUUAAAUAAUUUGAUUGAACAAAUUCACCUGGAU